rnacentral:lncRNA from 1 species
UAUUUGAGGGUUGCUGAAAAUUACAGUAUCGAGAACAAGGAUUGCACGACAGACUUUUAAAUUACAGAUUUGUGGUGUCUUUAUGUUGAAGAAUGUGUGUUUAGGGGGCUGGGAAGCAUGCUUUAAAAUGUUAAGUUUGCCAGACUUCUGUAGCGUGCUGUGAUGGUUGCCCAUGGGAUCUGCUUGUGUAUGAUUUAGGCUUACUACCCGUUUGCAUAUGGAGAGAGACUCAGGGCAAGAGUCGCUUUCUCUGGAAGAUUUUGAAGGAUCCAGGCACUGACCAGACCCAGACCUGCUUAGUGUUAGUGACAUCGUAGCGGAUGAGUACCUUCCGUCGAUGCCCUGGAACAUAAAGAAUGCCCCAUCUGGAUAUGAUCUUCUUUGGAGAGCUUUGGAUUGCAAAUACCCCCUUGGCUGGUCUUCUAUGAUGAGUAAGAAUCUUGGGUUCUCAGCAAAUAAUCUGGCUAAUUAAGAUUAAUUUUUUAAACCCCCCCCCCCAUUUCUUGGGCCAAGGAUGUACAUUUAAUCACAUUACAUAAGUAUGUGUAAAAAUUCAUGGGCUUGUUUUCAGGGUCAUUGCUGCAUAUUAUGAAUGUAAAGCUAUACAAUGUUCAGGAUCACCCCGGCCGUAUCCCAGUCCUGAGCUGAUCUUAAAGGCAGGCUUUAUAUUUCGUGAGAUUUAAGCCCUGGUGAGUUUGAUAGGAUGUACUCUCCAGCAACCGCGCCUAGGAUUGCAGCCUUAGAAAAAUGAGCAUGUUGCCAUCAAAGCAUUGCAAAUGUAGUUAUUUCAGUUUUAUUCCAAAUUAAUGAUGUCAUUUAGUUGUAAUGGUGAAGCUCUGGGGUGCGCUGUUUCUAUUCGGCAUCUGAUUUUCAGUGCAUUUUUGGGACCGACUUAAAACACAGGUAAUUAAACCUCUUAAAUACAGCCCUUAUUACUGGUUUGCCAAGAGCUUCGGGUGAAUAAACCAUUUCUUUUAUUAAUGAGCUCGCGUGCCACAUUCCCCACAUUUCCUCCUGUCUUCCAAGGGGGCGUUUAGUUACUGAAAUGAAUGGGAUUUAUUUUUCCUAAAUGAAAUUCUCAAAUUGCUGCUGCUGCUGUGUAAAUAUCCAGAUGUGCGACACAGCCUCAUGCACACCAGUGGAAAAUGAGCAGCUCACAGGUCUAGCCCCAUAAUGAGUAAUGUUUAUCUGGUGUGACCGUUUUUAACUGUAAUAUGCUGCUUCCCUGAACCUACUGAUUGAAUUAAGAGUAGGUGUGCUGCAGUUCAUGUGUCUGUUUAGAUGCUUAGGCCAUCCUAUUCUGACUCUGUAGAAUAAGCAGAAACACAAUAAAAACCAAGUCUAUUGCCAGAUUUAAUGGCAUCCCAGUUGAGUAAGUCUGUUUUAAACCUGCAUGAAUUUGCAUAUGAAUCAAAUCGGAUCAGGCUGCGACAAUCUAGUCAGAACCCACCAGUUGAAGACCAGUUUAGAUUGCUUUAGAUGACACAGUGGUGCCAUCUUAGGACGGGGUGCCUUGCUGUGUGAGAAUCAAAUAGGAAUUCUAAGAUGGCAUUGCCAGCUGCGGGGCCUGGCAUUACUUUUGUUAAAAUAAUAAUUAAUAGCUUCAAAAACAACACUACUUCUGUCUGAUUACUCAGGGGACCUAUUUUAAUCAGUAAAAAAACAACAAAAAUACCUGAAUGUAUAAACAUGGCAGCCUAAUAAAAAACCUAUUAAAAUUAAAAUAUGCUACCUUCCGUUGCCAGACAUUUUCCUCAGAGAGGCUCAUUUAUUUUAUUUUAUUUUUGCCUUUUAUAUUCCGCAAAGUGGGGAGAAACUAAAAGGGAAUGACAUUCCCUGACACCACUGUGUUUAUUCAUUUGCUUUCUUUCUUCAUUUAUAUCCCAGCAUUCCUCCAAGGAGUUCAAAAUGGCGCCUGAGCUUUCCCCUCGCCUCAUUUUGUCCUCGCAGAAACCCUGUGAGGUAGUUUUAGGCUGACAGGUAAUGACUGACUCAAGGUCGCCCAGUAAGCUGUGUGGCCGGGUGGAUAUUUGAAUUGGGGGAUAUCCCCCAAUCGUAGUCCCAGCCCUCAAACCCAGGGUUGGCGAAUUGGAUCCAGACAGUGGACCAGAUCUUGAUGGGCGUCUUUGACCGGAGGAACGGGCAUGGCAUCAGGCGAAGUGUUUUCCUUUUGCCAGACUGGCUCGAAUUCAAGCUGAUCUGUAAAGGAGGAGGGGAAAGUUUCUGUGCUUGCAUCAGCCACAUUGGGGAGUUGGUCUUUGUGGGAUUGGGUUUGACACUGAAUCUAACUGCCGAAUGAAAAUUCUGCAGGAAUGGGCUCUGUUUGGGAGUCAUUUCUCCCCCGUGAAGAGGGAUGGGUUGUUGUUGUUUUUCCAAUCAUAUUUUAUUAAAUUUUAAUUUUUUUAUCAUAUAUAAUAAACACACAAUUGCAUUUUUUCUCUUAUUUAAAGAAAAACAAAUGGUUUUAACAAUUCCGUCGGUGUCACCUAUAACCUAAAUACACACUUCAUCAUGAACAAUGCACUUGUGUUUGACUGACUGCUAUUCUCUUUAAAAUUCAUCUGAAUGGAAGCCACAGGAGGGUUAAUUCCCUCCCUGUUUGUUUUCAAAGGGGAGAGUGGCAGUUUAUUGGUGUGAAUGACAUUUGUAAGUGAGGAAUUAAUUUUUAGGGUGCACUUGGGUCCCAUUUACUUAACAACUGUAAGUCUCUGAAUCCGAUUCUGUGUAUUAGGUGGCGAGGGAGAUGGAAGAGAAAUGAAGCCAAAUUGUAGAUGUGCUCAAAAUGAUGAAAAUUGGCAUUGUUUUGUUGGAACCUGGUUUCCUUAGGCCAGGGGUCGGCAACCCGCGGCUCCGGAGCCGCAUGUGGCUCUUUUACACCUUUGCCGUGGCUCCGGGGCGGAUACUAGAGAGGGGAGGAGGCCCAUUGUGCGCCCCGACACUCCCCACUGUGGCAGGCGCUGUACUGGCUGUGACGUCACAUGGGGGGGCGGUGCGUGCGUUAGUCACUCACCGUCCCGACGUCACCUUCCCGCCCGCCUGCUACAUUGUAAGGGGCAUGUACGCUGGUCACUGCAUUGAAAGGGGGCAUGUACGCUGGUCACUGUUUUGAAGGGGAGUGAAGAACACACACACAAAAAGGUAACUUGUUAAUUUAACGUUUAUUUCUAUGAGGAGGAGUAAUUCUGAGGGGUCAAACAAAGAAAUAAUAAAAAAGUGACAAAAAAGUUAUUUUUAUAAUGACUAGUUUUGCGGCUCCCAGUUUUUUUUUCUUCGGAAACGGGUCCAAGUGGCUCUUUUUGUCUUAAAGGUUGCAGACCCCUGGUUUAGGCGGUUGCCAAGUGUUUGUGGUGCUGCUGGCAGGAUUGGGCCCACCUGUAGGGCUGUGCUUUUGGGAGGCAACUGCAACCUGUCCGCCAUUUUAAAUUCCCCACAAUGCCUCAGGGUAAUGCAGCACUGUGGGGAAAUAAAAAUAAUGUGGGGUUCUCAGCUGCCCAGUGCGGAUUGCAACACUGUUGUUGCCCACCCAUGCUGCUAAGCAUACUGGGAGUGGUGGAUGACAGCAGAUCCUCCCACCCCCAAACCUGUUUGUUUUGUUAUUGCAUUUCUAUCCCACCUCUUCCCCCAAAACUCAAGGUGACAUACAUGCUUUGUGUCUUCCCCAUUGUUAUGAUCACAACAACCCUGUGAGGUAGGUUUGGCUUAGAGACUGUGAUUGGCCCAAGGUCUCCCAGUGAACUUCAUGGCUCAGUGUGGUUUUAAACCCACAUUUUUCCAGGUCCUAGUCCAGCACUCCAACGACUACACUGACUCUCUUGCCUGUUUCCAGCCUUGUCUGGUACCCAAAGCUAUCCUAAUGGGAUAACAGUGAUGUGCUGAGUAGAGUCUUAUUCUGGACCUGAUGUCACACACCUUUGUUUUUUAAUGAACCAUUUGGAUCAAGGACUCGCGGAUAUCAUUUGCCAAAUUUGCAGAUGACACAAAAUGGGGAAGAGGGUGCAAGCACUUUGGAAAAUAGGACAGAAAGUCAAAAUGGGCUAGCUAGAAUGAGCUUGUCUUUUUGAUAAAGCUUCUCAGGGCAGAUUGGAGCUGUUCCUCUGUAUGACCAGUUUGUUAAGAAACAAUAUUCCCAGACUCCCCUUCUCUCUCCCCCUAAAUAUUUGUCAUACCAACCUUGAUUAAUGGAUUGUGUUUAGGUGGUGGCUAAGAAGCUGUCGGGUAUGUGUUCAGCUAUCAAUAAAUCAACUCUGGGAGAUAAUCUGAGCCCCAGGGGCAUUUUGUGGCUUUGAUUCUGCCCAGGAGUGGGUUGAGCCCUCCAGAUACCUUGCAAUUGGAUGAGUUUUUGCUGUUCUUUGGAAAACACUACAGCGCUGUUGCUGCUGCCAGAAUUAAGAACAAAAAGCAAAUUCCACCAAGUGUUGGCUGCCACUUCUGUAUUUGCGUGUACUUGUCUUUCCAAAGUUUGAAGAGAAUAUAGAUGCAAUGUCCCCCUGUUUUCUUUCUUUCUCUGGCAAAUUUUAUAAGCAAAUUCAAGUAGAUUUAGCAUUAAGGCACCGGAUUCCUGAAGGGAAGCUUGAGGGAGCUCAAAAAUCUGAAUUUCUUUUCACCAUCUGCAUUUGGGCUUUUCUUCAUUGCCUCUUGCAGUGGCUUUGAAACUGCACUGUGGACAACCCGGAGAUUUUGUCUCAAACGUGGUGUCCUCUGGAUUUCAUGGACUACAACUCCCAUAAUUCCUGAUCUUUGCCCAGACUGGCUAGAGCUAAAGUCCACAAUAUCUGGAAGACACCACAUUGACUAUCAGAUGGGGAACCUGCUGCCCUCCAGGGGCUGCUGAGCUCCUGCUUCCAUCACCCUUGACUGUUGGCCAUGCCAGCUGGGUCUGAUGGGAGCUGGAGUCUUAACAGCAUCUGGAGGGCUGUAGAUGUUCCCCAUCUCCGCACUACAGUGUGCCAGGGUCCUGUGAUAGAUGUGGGGCCUCUGUAUAAAGUAGUGGCACCCAACUUUGUGCUCCUCCAGAGGUUGGACUUCGAUCAGCCCCAGCUAGCAUGAGCAGCGAUCAAGGAUGAUGGAAGUUAGUCCAUAGACAACUAGCAGACAGGAUUUCUAAAUGGCUUGGGCAUAAGUAAUCUGUGAUUCAUGAUCCUAGGAAGUUGCUAUUGUAAUGAGUAACAGCAUUUCUUCAACUCAGUAUUGCUGGGAAACAGCUCUUGAAGGUCUCCCAGGAUCCAGUCCUACCUAGAAACACCAGGGUUUAAAACAUGCAACUUUGGUAUUCAAGACAUGUAAGACUUAGCCUAUCUUAAGUAUGUUUUUUUGGUUAAGAACAUAAGCACUGUCCUGCUGGAUCAGACCAAGGUACAGCUAGUCUAGUUUUCUUUUGCCAGAGUCCCACAGUCCAUCAGAAAGUGGUCAGUUGUCCACAGUUGGACCACAAGUGGGGAACUUGCGGACCUCCAAAUGUUGUUGGAUGCUGGCUCCCAUCAGCCCAAGCCAUCAUGGUCAGUGAUCUGAGUUGUAGUCCAGUGACAUCUGAAGGGCACCAGAUUUCCAGGCCUGGCCCACCCAUGAGGCAGAGUGAAGCCACACCUCAGGUGGUGGAAACCCCAAAGCAAUGCCCCGUCUUCCCUUCUGCCUCCACGACUGGCCUCAGUGCCAGUUUCCGCCAUGAUCUCACAAGAUUUGAUCUCUCCGGGAAUCAUCAAGAUCUUGCCGGAAGCACUUCUCUGACAGCAACGUAGGCGGCGUGAUUGGCAGUGGCACAGCAACAGGGUGGGGCGGCACUUCCUGUUUUGCCUCAGGCAGCAAAAUGGGAUGUGCUGCCCCUGUAGAUUCUUCAUCCCUGAUCUACCUUCUGAUUUAUUGGGUAUUUGGUGGCAUGGGGAUAAGGUUUUCCUGUGUGCUCAAGCAAGAGGUUUGUUCCAGGCAGACGGCCUCAAUAAAACUAAUUAAAACUGCUUGUUUGUGCAGUGAAAACUGCAAGAUUUCAAGUUUGUUAAGGGGUGAUUAAAGUGAAACAUCUGUUUGUGUGGGUAUGGUCACAUGGUGGUGUGUAUCUGAGGUAUGGAUCUCUGUACAAACGGGGACAUUGCUAGGGCAGGUACCAAGCUGGUGAAAGACCCCAGUGUAACAGCUUUGUACAGCCACAUUUGCAAUCUUAAUAUGAAGCUAAUGAAUAAACAAAUACAGGUAUAAACAUUGUGUAAACAUGCACAUAAAAUCGGCAAUAAAACAGCCAUAAAUAUCAGUUUUAUGUGUCCUUGGAGGCAUUGCAUGUCUGUUUAUGGUCAGAGAUACAGAAGGCAAUACCAGCGUACCAGCUUUGGGGCUGUGAAACACCAAGAUUGACACGAAAACAAAUAUUAUUUUAGUAAGUAGAGGAAAUUCUUUGUAAGGCAUGUACAAGAAAGGUAUUUAACCCACCUCAGCCAUUUCCUGCUCAACUACAUCCAAACAAAAUCAUUUUUUUUCUUUUCUUUUACCUUUUAAAAUUAUUUUAAACCUGUGCUAAAUGGACUCAUUGGGGAAAAAAAAAGAGGUUUUAGAUAACUGAAAUAUCAACCGUGUUCAUUUUUCACUAUUCCCCCCCCCCCCAUUCCUUCUUGUAACCAAACUUCUCAUUCUUUGUCUUUUAGAAAAGUCAUGGCAUGGAAAAUAAUUUCUCUAGCCAUUUAGCUGUAAAAUCUAAUGUGUUGAUUAAAAAGAAACGACACUGCUGCUUAGAUGGUUGGGUUUGUGUAAUUGCUUUUUACAGAACAAAUUGCCAGUUCUUUGCUGCAAUAACUUGCAUUUUGUCCCAGAAAACUGAGAGGCUUGUUUAAUGGGCAAUUCAUUUCAGGGUUUGAAGACGCAUGCAUCUGGUUCCUUGCAGUUCACUGCUAACCAAGUUUUACUCCAAAGUACGAUUUAUAAGGAGCUAGCUUUUGGAUAAAUAUGUCUAGGGUUUCAGCAUGAAAGGGAAAAACAGGCAACUGUUGUCUGUUUGCAGACCUCUCACUUUAACCAUGACUGUUGUUGUUUUUGGUGUUGUUUGAAGACCCAAACUAGUAUUAUUACUAUCAUCAUCAUCAUCAUUAGUGGUAUUGGUAUCGUGGUCUUGAGUUGUUGAAGGCUUUAAUGGUCAAAAUCCUGAGAUCCUGUGCCCACCUACUUGCAAGCACACCCUACUGAACUUACUUUUGAAUAGACAGCUGUAGGAUUGCACUAUGCACGUUAAAUUUAAAUGGAGCAAACCGCAGUGAAGGUACUGGUCUUACCUAUCCAACCUCUCUGUUGGUAAGGUGAGAACCCAGUCUUGCUGGUGCCCCUUCGCUCAGAAAGCUAAGCUAUGGUUUGAAUGCACGUUUAUAGUCUUAGCUAGGGGUCUGUUGAAUAUUCUCCUGCAAACACUUGUUUUAUAGAAAAGGGGCCUUCUUAGGGCUUGAAUAUUUUUUUUCCUGAAAGACCUCCAAAAGUGUACUUUUUCACACCUGCUUGAUGACAUCCAGCUUAGGUGUCUUAUUUAUUCAUUCAUUUUAUUUAUGAAUUGCUUCCCACGAAACAUUAUGAAGUGAUUAUUAAUAUAAAACAUC